UACGUAGGGUGCGAGCGUUAAUCGGAAUUACUGGGCGUAAAGCGUGCGCAGGCGGUUCGUUAAGUUCGUUGUGAAAGCCCCCGGCUCAACCGGGGAACGGGCGCCGAAACGCCCCGUCUGGAGGGACGUAGGGGGACCUGGAACUUCCGGUGGAGCGGUGAAAUGCGUUGAGAUCGGAAGGAACGCCCGUGGCGAAAGCGAGGUCCUGGACGUCUACUGACGCUGAGACGCGAAAGCUAGGGGAGCGAACGGG
rnacentral:rRNA from 1 species